UACGGAGGGGGCUAGCGUUGUUCGGAAUUACUGGGCGUAAAGCGCACGUAGGCGGCUUUGUAAGUUAGAGGUGAAAGCCCGGGGCUCAACCCCGGAAUUGCCUUUAAGACUGCAUCGCUUGAAUCCGGGAGAGGUGAGUGGAAUUCCGAGUGUAGAGGUGAAAUUCGUAGAUAUUCGGAAGAACACCAGUGGCGAAGGCGGCUCACUGGACCGGUAUUGACGCUGAGGUGACGGAAAGGCGUGGGGAGCAAACAGG
rnacentral:rRNA from 1 species